rnacentral:rRNA from 1 species
AUACGGAGGGUGCAAGCGUUAAUCGGAAUUACUGGGCGUAAAGCGUACGUAGGCGGUUAUUUAAGUCAGAUGUGAAAGCCCCGGGCUCAACCUGGGAAUUGCAUCUGAUACUGGGUAACUAGAGUUUAAGAGAGGAGUGUGGAAUUUCCGGUGUAGCGGUGAAAUGCAUAGAGAUCGGAAGGAACAUCAGUGGCGAAGGCGGCAAUCUGGCUUAACACUGACGCUGAGGAACGAAAUCGUGGGUAGCAAACAGGAUUAGAAACCCUAGUAGUCC